GUCAGAUUGGCCGAGUGGUCAAGACGCCAGACUUAAGUUCUGACCCCAGAGAGAAGGCGUGGGUUCGAACCCCACAUGUGUUGCGAAGGCA